AGAAUUUUCUCGAACAAAAUUCUAUCUGCUUGUGAUGGUUAUUACAACGGACGUCCUGUGUGUGCUGACGGACAGCCACGGAUGUAAUAACCCUCACGAGCAGAUAUAAUUUUGGUCAAGAAAAUUCU
rnacentral:pre_miRNA from 1 species